AAUGUAGGCGGUCGAAUAAGUCAGAGGUGAAAUCCCUCAGCUUAACUGAGGAACUGCCUUUGAUACUGUUUGACUAGAGGACAGGAGAGGAAAGUGGAAUUCCCGGUGUAGCGGUGGAAUGCGUAGAUAUCGGGAGGAACACCAGAGGCGAAGGCGGCUUUCUGGACUGAUCCUGACGCUGAGAUUCGAAAGCUAGGGUAGCAAACA
rnacentral:rRNA from 1 species